rnacentral:rRNA from 1 species
CCUACGGGAGGCAGCAGUGGGGGAUAUUGCACAAUGGGGGGAACCCUGAUGCAGCGACGCCGCGUGGGUGAAGAAGCGCCUCGGCGCGUAAAGCCCUGUCAGCAGGGAAGAAAAUGACGGUACCUGAAGAAGAAGCCCCGGCUAACUACGUGCCAGCAGCCGCGGUAAUACGUAGGGGGCAAGCGUUAUCCGGAUUUACUGGGUGGAAAGGGGGCGCAGACGGCGGUGCAAGCCAGGAGUGAAAGCCCGGGGCCCAACCCCGGGACUGCCCUUGGAACUGCGUGGCGGGAGUGCAGGAGGGGCAGGCGGAAGUCCUGGUGUAGCGGUGAAAUGCGUAGAUAUCAGGAGGAACACCGGUGGCGAAGGCGGCCUGCUGGACUGCAACUGACGUUGAGGCCCGAAAGCGUGGGGAGCAAACAGGAUUAGAUACCCCAGUAGUC